rnacentral:rRNA from 1 species
ACGGAAGGCAGCAGUGGGGAAUAUUGCACAAUGGGCGCAAGCCUGAUGCAGCGACGCCGCGUGAGCGAAGAAGUAUUUCGGUAUGUAAAGCUCUAUCAGCAGGGAAGAAAAUGACGGUACCUGACUAAGAAGCUCCGGCUAAAUACGUGCCAGCAGCCGCGGUAAUACGUAGGUGGCAAGCGUUAUCCGGAUUUACUGGGUGUAAAGGGCGCGUAGGCGGGGAUGCAAGUCAGGUGUGAAAUCUAUGGGCUUAACUCAUAAACUGCAUUUGAAACUGCAUCUCUUGAGUGCUGGAGAGGUAGACGGAAUUCCUUGUGUAGCGGUGAAAUGCGUAGAUAUAAGGAAGAACACCAGUGGCGAAGGCGGUCUACUGGACAGUAACUGACGCUGAGGCGCGAAAGCGUGGGGAGCAAACAGGAUUAGAUACCCUGGUA